rnacentral:tRNA from 1 species
GCCCCACUGGCGCAAUGGUAGCGCGCUUGACUUCUACUAGUAGAUCUACUAUAUAGUUACUAUGUGGGAAGCUAAUCAAGAGGCUGCCGGUUCGACCCCGGCGUGGGGCU